AUUUCUUUCUAGCCACCUGUACGAGUAUUCGACUCUUGUUCGUAUAGAUAUAGGUACCUACUUCUUGGCAGAAAAUUAAACCGUUACCAUUUAUGGAAACAUUUUUAUCAAUUUUAAUUGCUGCAGUUUGGCUUAACAUCCAAUUUCCACUCGCACUAGGCGAUUCCAGCCCAUCGCCAGUUAUCUACAUAGCGAAAUGUAAUGGAAACUCAUACACAGUGGUAAAAAAUCGAGUCUACGAUGGUUCCAAAGUCCUCUAUCGAAUACCACCCGGUACUAAAUACCACCUACAAGGCUGCACCCUGUACUACGGCGAUGAACCAGCUUAUAAUAUUACAACCAAUAAACGUUACAUAGGAUCUUACCCAAGAAAACGUAAAAUACCCCAACGAAUAUUGUACGUCGAAAAUGGCAAACUGAUCAAGGUUAGAGAAGGGCGAAUUUACAUAGGAAAAUUUCGAGCUUACGAAGACGAUGAUUUGAAACGAGGCAAAGCCCACAUUUACCAAAAAGAUGGCAAUUUGUAUAUAAACUCGCAUGUGGUCAUGAAAAAAAAUCCAUACCAGCCGAAAAUAAAAAUACCAGACAUUGUGAAUCUGAAUUUAAAAGAUGCGAACGAAUUCCAAAUUAAAAUGAAGAAAAGUCAUAUACUUCAGUACAAUGAUAAACGAGGCCGCGAGCAGAUAUUUAUGAAUAUCGUUCAUAGUAAAUAAACCUCUCUCCAGUGUU